GUCCACGCUGUAAACGAUGGGCACUAGGUGUCUGGGGUAUUGACCCCCUGGGUGCCGUAGCUAACGCAUUAAGUGCCCCGCCUGGGGAGUACGGCCGCAAGGUUAAAACUCAAAGGAAUUGACGGGGGCCCGCACAAGCGGUGGAGCAUGUGGUUCAAUUCGACGCAACGCGAAGAACCUUACCUGGGCUAGACAACGGUGGACAGUCUUAGAGAUAAGAUCUUCCCUUCGGGGACUGCCGGUUCAGGUGCUGCAUGGCUGUCGU
rnacentral:rRNA from 1 species